rnacentral:tRNA from 6 species
GGGGAUAUGGCGGAAUUGGUAGACGCUACGGACUUAAAAUCCGUCGGUUUUUUUAGACCGUGAGGGUUCAAGUCCCUCUAUUCCCA